UCGAAGUAUUUACCAUCUGCUGGCUGCUUCUAUUAACUCAAGUGUUUUAUGGGAUCCUUACAUAACUGUACUACUAGAAGUUCAACAUCAGUCUUACAGCAUUUCUUUAGCAUUGGACAUGUAGUAUUUCACAAUCAUGAAGGAACAGAGUACUGGUUGUUUUUACCAUCAGCGUGAUGGCCACAUCCAGAAUUAACUCAUCCUUACCCUCUUAGGUCCAAAUAAAUUAUUAUAAAGAGUCCGAAAACUUUUUCUAGUAUAGUUGCAGCGAUAAGCUCCACCCAUGAGAUAUUCAAGUACAAGACCAAUAUCUAUUAGGCUGAUAUGAUAAUCUGGUGGAAGAUUGCCCUACCAAGAGCAAGGAAACAAACAAAAGAACAAAAUAAGAAUUUAGAACAAGAAAAAAUAACAUACAUGAAAUUCAUAUUGGUGCAGCAGUAAUAUUUAUAGAUACUUGUCUCAGUCUCUGAUUAUUUAUACAAAAUUAAUGAGAACCAAUUCAAAUGAUAAAUGUUUGGGGAACAGAUUGAAUUUUUGGAAGUAUUUAUAAUUGAGGACAAUUUUUCAUUUGUAAUUUACUUGUACAUUGUAUCAGUAUCAAUACAUGUCCCAGUUGUUUGCAAGAGCUAAGAGAUUGGUGAAGUCAAUCUUUAUGUCACUCUUAAUAUUGACCAUUAUUAAUCCAACAUAAAAGUAUGAUUUGCUUAAUUUCAUAAUGAAGAUCAGACACACUCUACAAUUUAUAAAAAUUUGCAUUUUGCCACAAUAUUACCUACAGAGUUAAGAAUACAAUUCAGAUAAUGAUUUAGAUUUAUACGUAGCCCAGAAUUAAAGAGAAAAGCCUGUAACUUCCACAAUCACGUAUAAGAGCUAGAUAGUUGCAUUAACUCUUCUAGAAGCAUAAGCUGAAAACUGCUUUGUUGUUUGAGCUAUAUCCUACAACAGGAACUCAUUCUACAACACCACUGAGCAGUAGCUACAAUGAAAGAACCAUAUCCUAAGCAAACACAUCACCUCCAUGUUAACCCAACUGAAUCCCCGAGACUGCCGCUGAAUGAGUGAGCCAUGAAAAUGCAGUGAAGAGACAGACAGAAAGCAGAAUGCAGAAAAGCAUUAGUGACAAUCAAAAAGACAAACACCAAAUGAGGAAUCCCCCAGUGCUGAAGGGAAUAAAACAUCAGAUUUAAUGAACAAUGGUGAGAAGAACAUCGGAGAGAAUAUGGGAAAGAAGAAAGCACAAUUAGGAGAACAGACUGCUAUUAUAUUGUACAGGACAUGAAAAACAACUGGUGAACGCUUAAAUAUUAUUAUCUUGAAAGCUAUAGAUACAUAAGCAAGUAUUCCUUGGCAGCUGAGAUGAAUAUUAUGUAGAAAAGCUGGAAGCAUGAGCCAAUACCAAGCAUAAUCUCAGGAGAAGAGCAGCUUUUUGGAGAAUGUGGAGAAUAUGAAACUAAGAGAAACACUGCAAGGAACGUAGUGAGUGCCUCACACAGAUGUCCAUGCUCCAAUCCCAUCUCAGUUAUCUUAGGACUCCUUCCUGAAAGGGGUCAGAAAUGGCUUUAUAGAUAAAUCCUCAGAAUCACUGGGCAUAUUCUUUCAUGCAUUUUUGACUCAGCCAAAAUCUCCUAGCGACACUAAUUAGUACAGGCUUUAUGCAUGAAAAGGUAGGCUCCUAAUGGUAAGUCUACAGAUAACACAUUGGCAUCAUACCUUAAGAAGUGAUUUGACUUACUGUUUGAAAAUUUUCAAAACAAUUUUAGUGUCCGUAUUUCCAAAGCAGAAGAAAUAAAAGAUAGCAAACAUCA